rnacentral:tRNA from 2 species
ACCAGGAUGGCCGAAUGGUUAAGGCGUUGGACUUAAGAUCCAAUGUACGAAUGUACGCGUGGGUUCGAACCCCACUCCUGGUA